rnacentral:rRNA from 1 species
ACGAUGCUCACUAAGGUGUUGGGGAAGCGAUUCCUUGGUACCGUAGCUAACGCGUGAAGUGAGCCGCCUGGGGAGUACGGCCGCAAGGUUAAAACUCAAAGGAAUUGACGGGGACCCGCACAAGCGGUGGAUGAUGUGGAUUAAUUCGAUGCAACGCGAACAACCUUACCUACCCUUGACAUGUCGCGAAGCCUGCUGAAAGGCGGGUGUGCCCGAAAGGGAACGCGAACACAGGUGCUGCAUGGCUGUCGUCAGCUCGUGUCGUGAGAUGUUGGGUUAAGUCCCGCAACGAGCGCAACCCUUGUCCCUAGUUGCUACGCAAGGGCACUCUAGGGAGACUGCCGGUGACAAACCGGAGGAAGGUGGGGAUGACGUCAAGUCCUCAUGGCCCUUAUGGGUAGGGCUUCACACGUCAUACAAUGGCCGGUACAGAGGGUUGCCAAGGCGCGAGCUGGACCAAUCCCCAUAAAAGCCGGUCGUAGUCCGGAUUGCAGUCUGCAACUCGACUGCAUGAAUCGGAAUCGCUAGUAAUCGCGGAUCAGCAUGUCGCGGUGAAUACUUCCCGGGUCUUGUACACACUGCCCGUCACACCAUGGGAACGGGAUGUUCCANAAGUAAGUUAGCUAACCGCCAA